rnacentral:other from 1 species
UUCUCCCUGCUUGGUGCGUGACGUAUCCUUUUAAACCCACAGUUUAUCUUCGGGAUGCAGGACUUCUUCAUUGGAUUGCAGGCCUCCCGCCGGCGCCGAGACGAUCGGUGGACGUUGGAAGCAGUGAACAUGCAGAGCGGCAACCCACCUGCCUUUUUGUGCAGGUUAUAACUGGGUGCGCACGGCCGAAGUGGGGUUUGA